AAGGUUUAGGUUCGUCAUCCUCCGAGAGGGACCUACAAGUGAUGUGCUGAUGUGGAGAAAAGAGGAAGAAAUUGAAAUGUUGCUGGAAAAUUAUCUUCAUAGGUGGGUAAAUAGUGUGUUACAAUAAUUAGGGUUGUAAAUGAACCGAACGUUCUGCGAACAGUUCAUGAACUGUUCGGCGGGAAGUUCGUUUAUGUUCGUUCGUUUAAUGAAUGAACAAACACGAACAAGAAAUUUCGUUCAAUAAGUUAAACAAACGGACAUGAACAGAGGUUGCAUUUGUUAGUUUAUGUUCGUGAACGAUCGGUGAUGUGUUCGUCAUAAGCAAUUUCAUGUGACAACGCACGGGGCUUAGUAGUUAUUCUUAGAAAGAAGAUUAUAUACCAAUUUUGGUAGAUAUGUGUGUGGGGAGACAUGGGGGCGCAAUGGCCAAUAUUUAGAGUCAUAAUAGUUGAUUUUCAUGAAAUUUGAGAGCUAAAAUCUUACCGUAAGCAUGGCCAAUGUUUUCGGUAGUUCUGAACGAAACGGUAACAAGAACACAACCAAUCAUAAGAAGAUAAUUCAUUUCCGGUAUGUAAACCUGCCCUUCAUACUUAUCUGAUGUAUGCAAGACUUGAACACGAGGAAAACACCCUAGCGAAAGCGAUUGCUUGAUAAUCGAAAACGUCCCAGAGAUCAUAGCUUGACUUGCUAUAAUCGCGGCCAUAACAGCCACCACAAACACUGGCCAGUACAAGGCAUCCGGGGCUGAUUUAUAAAAAGUGUCCGCAACAAGACCUUGAUGCUUUCUUAGCCAAGAUGCCUGACCGCUAUACGCAGUGAUUAGAGCUGGAUAAACCACACAACCCAUGCUUAUUUGUAUGGAUUUUACAGUAAAGUGUCCAAGAUCAGCAAACAUAGCCUCAGU
rnacentral:lncRNA from 1 species